CCCUUCAGCUCAGGCCACCAGGUCUGUCUCUGGGCCCCUCUUGCAGCUGAUCAUGGUGUAGGUGCUGAGGACACAUGGCGAGUUCCUUCCCUCCCCUCGGGGGCAGGUGUACAGACAGAGAAACCUAGAUGCCCCAGGAGCUCAACUCUGCAACUGUCAUCAUGAAAAAUGCCAAAUGAGAAGUAUACUAGGAGUGAUGGACUUAUUUGCUGGCUUCCACAUUGUUGGGAAAGGAUGGGCAAUUUGAUUGAUUCUCAAGAGUUCUGCUAGUACUGUUUGAAGCCAACAGUUGAAGGCAUUAGAAGGAUCGAAUAUCCCGUGUGGCUGGAAGAAGAGAAAAGAGCUUCUUUGGAAUUAUAACCCAGGCAUUUUGGUUUAACUCUGCUAUCCUGUUUUCUUUGUUUGA